rnacentral:rRNA from 1 species
CAGUCGCCGCGGUAAAACGGAGGGUGCAAGCGUUAUCCGGAUUCACUGGGUUUAAAGGGUGCGUAGGCGGAUCUGUAAGUCAGUGGUGAAAUCUCCAGGCUUAACCUGGAAACUGCCGUUGAUACUAUAGGUCUUGAAUUUUGUGGAGGUUAGCGGAAUAUGUCAUGUAGCGGUGAAAUGCAUAGAUAUGACAUAGAACACCAAUUGCGAAGGCAGCUGGCUACACAACUAUUGACGCUGAGGCACGAAAGCGUGGGGAUCAAACAGGAUUAGAUACCCCCGUAGUCCCUGUCUCUUAUAA